CCUACGGGUGGCUGCAGUGGGGGAUAUUGCACAAUGGAGGGGACCCUGAUGCAGCGACGCCGCGUGGGUGAAGGAGCGUUUCGGCGCGUAAAGCCCUAUAUGCGGGGAAGAAAAUGACGGUACCUAGCCUCUCAUCCGCGGCUAACGACGUGCCAGCCGCCGCGGUCAUACGGGGGGGGCCAGCGUUAUCCGGGUUGCAUGGGUUUAACGGGGGCGCAGACGGGAAUGCAAGCCAGGAGUGAAAGCCCGGGGCCCAACCCCGGGACUGCUCUUGGAACUGCAGGGCUGGAGUACAGGAGGGGAAGGCGGAAUGCCUAGUGUAGCGGUGAAAUGCGUAGAUAUUAGGAGGAACACCGGUGGCGAAGGCGGCCUGCUGGACUGUGACUGACGUUGAGGCCCGAAGGCGUGGGGAGCAAACAGGAUUAGAUACCCCAGUAGUC
rnacentral:rRNA from 1 species